CAAAAACAUAGCCUUAAGAAGUAAUUUAAGGUAAGCCCUGCCCAGUGGAAAAUAUUCUUAACGGCCGCAGUACCUUGACUGUGCUAAGGUAGCGUAAUCAAUUGGCUUUUAAAUGGGGUCCAGAAUGAACGGGGCCAUGGGGAGAAACUGUCUUUUUUUUGAUUAAUUUAACUUGCUUAAUAGGUGAAAAUACCUUUUUUAAGAAAAAAGACGAGAAGACCCUUAGAGCCAUACUAUAUGAAUUAAUAAUUUAUUUGUUUUUGUUGGGGCGACAAGAAGACAAACCAUAAACUCUUCUCUUAAAACUAAACGAUUAUAAUAUGUAAGAACAGGCUACCUUAGGGAUAACAGCAUAAUUAUUUUAUAGUUUGUGACCUCGAUGUUGGACUAGGAACUUGAUGACUAGUCGUCAGUAAAGGAAAGUUCUGUUCGAACUAUUUUUCCUACGUGAUCUG
rnacentral:rRNA from 1 species